GGGAAAUUCUAUGUCUCAUUCCCCUGGCUUCUCUAGGGGUAGUUUUUAAGCCUGAUGCACAAGCAAGUCCUAUGUGCUGCUGUCACUUAAUUCUGUAUGACAUGAUACACCAUACAUCACAUGUUUUAUUGCACUCUGUGCCAAUUUUUAGCAUAAGUCCUGUUUGUAUUGCUUAGGAAGGAAAUUCUGCUAUUGGACUAACAAGGCUUGCUUUAACAUCCAAGGAAGAUUCCCAUUGACUUCAGUGGAUGCUGGGAUAAGGUUUUAUGCAAGUCAGAAUUCUGGUGCAUGUUGGUACAAGAGGAAUUCAAUCUGUAGGUUGAAAGCAAUUAGGAACUUCAUUCUAGGCUAGUGCCAAACACCUACAGUCAUUAUUCAUAGCUGUGAAUGUCUUCAUGUGAAGGGCUUUAGUGUGACUAGUGUGAGCACUAGGAUCUGCACUUGGUAGUUAAGAGUGAGACUUCUGUUCCAGAUUUAUCUUCUGUCAAAUUUGAAGAAACAAACUGAGCCUUGGUUUGCUAUGUUAGUGGUCUGACUACGAGUCUCUGAAAAAUCUGGGAUUGAGCUGGGAAUGGGCAUUCUCAACUCCUGUUAAAAUGUUCUACAUUUAUAUAUAGCACUUAGUACUUCUCUUAAGAGAAUAACCGCAACGUAACACUCGACUGGGGAAGUCAGGUUCCAGUUCUUUGCCCUUUUUCUUCUUCCAUUCUGCAGGGCUCAAGUUUCACAGAUGUGUUCUGGGAUCCCUUGUAGGAAUAGCCUUGAAGAAGAGACAGGUGCAUAUUGAUGCAAGUUCCCAGAUGACAUGAAGCACUGUAACCAGUGGGCCAUUUUAGAAAAGGAGAAGCCUUAUGGGAUCCCUUGAAGCAUACUGGAAGAUGUAUUGCUUCAGCAGCCCAGCCAAGAUCCUGAAUGGGCAAAGGUGCAUGAUUCAGUCACCUAUGAUCUGGGGAGGAUUUCAGAUACAUUUUUCACAGCGUUUCUGGAUCCUUUGCUUGAGGAACUCAUACGCUCAAGAAGCCUUAGCACCAGGACUUCCUGAAUCAGCAAUUGCCAACAAAGACAUGCCUUGUAUAACAUCCUUAUGUGAGGCCUGUAAAAAGCUCAGAACAAAUAAUUAA
rnacentral:lncRNA from 1 species